rnacentral:lncRNA from 1 species
AUAUGCCCACUCUUGUGUCAGGGUCCUGCCAGGUAGGACGACUAUGUUGUUUUUACAUGUGUCGGGCACACCAUUGGUCCCUGCAUGGAUGAUACGAUCUAGAGUUGGUGUUCGUAAGACGUACAUCAUGUGGGUUGGGUACCAAUCGAGUGGACUCUUUGUCUAGUGUCGCCAGGGGAAAGGCAAUGAUCGGGUACUUACCUAGGGUAUGUUAUAUACAGAGAGUCGUGGAUGACACGGAAGUUUCCCGAAUCUCGUGGGUACAGCGCGCAACCUCUGCAGAGUGUAAAACUAUUUGAAUAGUUGUGUCCGCGGUCAAGGACAGUUGGGUGGUUCUUCUUAAACUACGUCUAAUCGUUUUCGCAUAAACCAAGUGUGUGUGUGUGUGUGUGUGUGUGUGUUUGUGUGUGAGGAAGAUGGUACUUUGUCAAGUUGGAUGACUUGGCAUGCAGGGUGAACAUGGGAUGUUCAGUCCUCGGAUGAUAUUGAAUAUGUAACCUACUCAUGAGGCUUCCACUUACCUUACGAUGCAUGUCCGUACAAGCAUUUGAUCACGCUACAGCAUUCAAGGAAAAACUUGCUUUCCGCAAAGGUUGCAUACUUGUGAUAUAUCAUGUUUCAUUAUCUCCUUGCUCCACAUCAUGGGUUGCUUGCGAGUACAUUCAAAGUACUCAUUGGCUUGCCACUGGUUAUUUUGUUGACCAGGAAAGAGAGAAUAGGAGAUUGUGAAGAGUAAAAUGGUGACGUCCCUACGAGCUAGGAUGCUUCCCAGCUAGAAUGCAUGUAGGUUAAGGCUGAUGGCAUGGGUUCACGCUUGCGACCAAUACUUCCACUAUUGGUCAAGUUUGGUGUCUUGGCCUUCAGGGCCCCAUCUAUGUAAGUCUUGACCGCAAUGGUCAUUAUUUGUAACACACGAUAUGUAUGGAUGUAAGACUCUUGGUAUUUAGUUUCUGUGUGUUCGAUGAGCAUUGAUCUCUGGGAUCAGUCAUCACGUUCAUUCUGUGAUCAGGACUCAUAGUCGGGGUCCCCACAUCCCGAGUGAAGAAAUCUUCUUACACUCUGAACAUUUAGAGCUCAGGCAAAGUCUAGUUCGCGGCGAAGCCCCUGAGUGAGGAAUUCUUCUUCGCUCAGACUGUUUUAGAUUACACGAGUGCUGGGUCGCAGCUAAGACCCCAAGUGUGGAAAUCUUCCACACUCAGGAUAUUUAC